CCUGCACGCCUGGCCCCUGUGGUUGGCCGGGGCCACUGAGCUGUGAGGCUUGCCUGCAGGAGGACCUGAUGGCCAGCGUGAGGCCCCAGCGCCGUGGCUUCCUUUCUGCCGAAGCAACUAGCGCUGAGGCUUCCGACAGCGACGGCUCCAUCCUCCCUCCCGGGGCUCCAUCCUCCCGGGGUGAGGGGGCGUGGAGCAGAGCCUGUCUGAGCACUGAGGACGCGAAGCCUGGGCGAGACAUAAACCUUGCUGUUUCCGGUGGCGUCUGUUCCGCAGUGUGACCCAGCCUGUCCCGAGAGCUGCACCACGCUCAAGGUGACCCGAAGCAGACUUAUCUCGUCUCCAAAUUGCUACCCUCGGUCACCUCCCUGUUCCUGCCGGCUCCUCUGCUUCCCCAAGCCUGGGACUCGGGGCGCCCUCCUCCUUCCGUCCUCCAUGCCCAUCAGCCAGGAAGUUCUGCUGAGAAUAGACCCCUUUCCUUCCACCUCCUCCGCACGAGUACCCGCAACGGCUCAGGACGAACUAACAGACCUGAGCUCCCCUCUGAGCCUCUCGAUACGUCCUGCACCUGAGCCCCGGCCUUGUCUCCCGAACAUCAGUCUCACCUGUCGAUCUCCUGGACCACGUCCUGCCUUCCUCCCCGUCAGGAAAGAAAUCUUCUCCCAGAAGCCCCUCUCCCUGGACCACAUGCUGAUGCCCUGCCUACAAGGUGAGCGGUGAAGGUGGGUAAGGCUUCUGUGUUUCCAUGGUUUCCAUGGUGAUUGUCAUCUCUGUCACCUGGACUGCAGCCGCAGCCUCUUACCUGCUCGCCCAGCCUCUGCUCCGGCCUCUCCCCCAUCUGCCUGUCUGCCACAAACUGCGGAUGAACACGUUUUAGAGUACAAUGUGUGCAGCCGGUAUAACGUCAAUGUGUUUUCUCUUCUCCAUCAAGACUAGGCCCUGGGACUUCCCUGGUGGCGCAGUGGUUCAGACUACACGCUCCCAAUGCGGGGGGCUUGGGUUCAAUCCCUGGUCAGGGAACUAGAUCCCACAUGCAUGCUGCAACUAAGAAUUCGCACGCCACAACUAAGGAGCCCACGAGCCGCAACUAAAGACCCAGUGCAACCAAAUAAAUAAAUAAAUAUUUUUUAAAACACAAAAAAGGCUAGGCCCUGCAGUGACACUCAUGGCUCCACGGAAGGGUCCGUCUAGACCAAAGAAAUCGUUGCUCAGAUUUGAGUUUUAAACCUAAACUUUUAAGAGCUCAUAGCAAGCCUUAGUCUUAGAAGCAAGGCUUUCAAGGGAGAGGAAAGGGAACCAUGAACCAAAGUUUGUGAGAUUCGCCCUUAGAGCAAGAAACCCAAGGCGAUGAUGUGAGAGAAAUGCCCCGCAGCAUAAGGAGAACAUUACUUCCAGGCCUGGGGAGAGAUCUGAUGGGCUUUGAAAGGGAAGACGCCAAGCUUGUCAUGCUGCCUGGGUCCCUGAGAAGGGACCCCGGCUCAUCCUGCAGCCCUCAGGUGUGGGACUUGCAAUGAUAAACAACCUGGGCUUGGAGGGGGUGCUCUGAAGGCGUGGGCCCCCCCCGUACCUCUGGCACAGGGAGAGUGCGGUGGAUGGUGCCUGGGGUGCAGCCAGGCAGGGAGAGGACCCCAUCUGGUGCCCCAGAGCCGCAGUCCCCGCACACAAGCUAGAGGAGCUCCCCAGCCCCGCGUGCCCUGGUGUGGAGGGCGGAGAGGGCCACUGAACCUGAAACCGGGGGUCAGGACAGUGCACGUGAUAAGCUUGGGAUGAGAGGUCACGACGGAAGUCCUGACACGGGCAGCAGGUGCUGGCACCUGACCAAAGGCUGUGGACAGGUCAUCACCCGCAGAGGCCAGAGCCUCCACCCUUCACUGCCACGGGGUUACAUGCGCAUCUCCGAGCCCAGGCGCCACGGAGGGAGACGGGAAUGAGGGAUUGUAGGAAGAAGGCUUGAAAUGACUGCGGUUUGAGCUGGACAGUGACCGAGGUCACCAAAGCAACCGGAUCUGAACAGACCGGUGACGGGACAGGGCCCAUGUCUGCCGGCGG